UGUGGCUGGGGGUGAAAGGCCAAUCAAACCGGGAGAUAGCUGGUUCUCCCCGAAAUCUAUUUAGGUAGAGCCUUGAGCGGACACCUUCGGGGGUAGAGCACUGUUUCGGCUAGGGGUCCAUCCCGGAUUACCAACCCGAUGCAAACUACGAAUACCGAAGAGUGAUACUCAGGAGACACACGGCGGGUGCUAACGUCCGUCGUGGAGAGGGAAACAACCCAGACCGCCAGCUAAGGUCCCAAAGUCUAUAUUAAGUGGGAAACGAAGUGGGAAGGCUUAGACAGCUAGGAUGUUGGCUUAGAAGCAGCCAUCAUUUAAAGAAAGCGUAAUAGCUCACUAGUCGAGUCGGCCUGCGCGGAAGAUGUAACGGGGCUCAAAUAUAGCACCGAAGCUGCGGCAUCAGACGAAAGUCUGUUGGGUAGGGGAGCGUUCUGUAAGCGGAUGAAGGUGAAUCGAGAGGUUUGCUGGACGUAUCAGAAGUGCGAAUGCUGACAUAAGUAACGAUAAAACGGGUGAAAAACCCGUUCGCCGGAAGACCAAGGGUUCCUGUCCAACGUUAAUCGGGGCAGGGUGAGUCGGCCCCUAAGGCGAGGCUGAAAAGCGUAGUCGAUGGGAAACGGGUUAAUAUUCCCGUACUUGGAUAAACUGCGAUGUGGGGACGGAGCAGGUUAGGUUAUCGCACUGUUGGAUAUGUGCGUUUAAGUUGGUAGGUGAGAAGUUUAGGCAAAUCCGGACUUCUAUAACACCGAGAGAUGAUGACGAGGCUCUACGGAGCUGAAGUAACCGAUACCACACUUCCAGGAAAAGCCACUAAGCUUCAGGUUUAUCUAAACCGUACUGAAAACCGACACAGGUGGUCAGGUAGAGAAUACUCAGGCGCUUGAGAGAACUCGGGUGAAGGAACUAGGCAAAAUAGCACCGUAACUUCGGGAGAAGGUGCGCCGGCGUAGAUUGUAGUCCCUUGCGGGCGAAGGUUGAACCGGUCGAAGAUACCAGCUGGCUGCAACUGUUUAUUAAAAACACAGCACUCUGCAAACACGAAAGUGGACGUAUAGGGUGUGAUGCCUGCCCGGUGCUGGAAGGUUAAUUGAUGGUGUAAUCGAAAGAGAAGCUCCUGAUCGAAGCCCCAGUAAACGGCGGCCGUAACUAUAACGGUCCUAAGGUAGCGAAAUUCCUUGUCGGGUAAGUUCCGACCUGCACGAAUGGCAUAAUGAUGGCCAGGCUGUCUCCACCCGAGACUCAGUGAAAUUGAAAUCGCCGUGAAGAUGCGGUGUACCCGCGGCUAGACGGAAAGACCCCGUGAACCUUUACUAUAGCUUGACACUGAACAUUGAAUUUUGAUGUGUAGGAUAGGUGGGAGACUUUGAAGUAGUCACGCCAGUGAUUAUGGAGUCGUCCUUGAAAUACCACCCUUUAACGUUUGAUGUUCUAACGAAGAUUACGAAACGUGGUCUCGGACAGUGUCUGGUGGGUAGUUUGACUGGGGCGGUCUCCUCCCAAAGAGUAACGGAGGAGCACGAAGGUUUGCUAAUGACGGUCGGACAUCGUCAGGUUAGUGCAAUGGUAUAAGCAAGCUUAACUGCGAGACAGACAAGUCGAGCAGGUACGAAAGUAGGUCAUAGUGAUCCGGUGGUUCUGAAUGGAAGGGCCAUCGCUCAACGGAUAAAAGGUACUCCGGGGAUAACAGGCUGAUACCGCCCAAGAGUUCAUAUCGACGGCGGUGUUUGGCACCUCGAUGUCGGCUCAUCACAUCCUGGGGCUGAAGUAGGUCCCAAGGGUAUGGCUGUUCGCCAUUUAAAGUGGUACGCGAGCUGGGUUUAGAACGUCGUGAGACAGUUCGGUCCCUAUCUGCCGUGGGCGUUGGAGAAUUGAUUGGGGCUGCUCCUAGUACGAGAGGACCGGAGUGGACGCACCACUGGUGUUCCGGUUGUGUCGCCAGACGCAUUGCCGGGUAGCUAAGUGCGGAAGAGAUAAGUGCUGAAAGCAUCUAAGCACGAAACUUGCCAAGAGAUGAGUUCUCCCUGUCUUUAAGACAGUAAGGGUUGU
rnacentral:rRNA from 1 species